rnacentral:rRNA from 1 species
GUCCUUAGUUGCCAGCACGUAAAGGUGGGAACUCUAAGGAGACUGCCGGUGACAAACCGGAGGAAGGUGGGGAUGACGUCAAGUCAUCAUGGCCCUUACGACCAGGGCUACACACGUACUACAAUGGUGGGGACAGAGGGUCGCAAUGCCGCGAGGCGGAGCCAAUCCCAGAAACCCUAUCUUAGUCCGGAUCGCAGUCUGCAACUCGACUGCGUGAAGUCGGAAUCGCUAGUAAUCGCGGAUCAGCAUUGCCGCGGUGAAUACGUUCCCGGGCAUUGUACACACCGCCCGUCACACCAUGGGAGUUUGUUGCACCAAGAAGC